GUAUGACCUAGAACAGCAAAAAGAUAUUUCUUUAAUACAUAGUAUGUUAAAAGUCUGGAAACAAAUAAAAUCUGUACGUAGACAGCAAGAAUAUACAAGUACACCUGUAAAAUUACAGUUUCAAAAAAGGCUGACCAAGAAAAAUAAUGAGGAUGAAUAUAAGGUAGGAUUAGCACAAGAUGCUGAAAAAGGCAGAUGGCUGGAAGGAGAAGAUAAUAUUGAUAACCCUGACAAUAUUUCAGAGACCUGGGGAAAACAGAAGGUACUUAAAUUACAAGACAGGUUUUAAAAUAAUCAAUAUUGUGUGCCUGAUCCGUCUCACAUUGCAGCUAAUGAGAGUUUUGUCACUCACUUUUAUGACAGCAGUGUAGUGCUCCUUGAUUUGCUAGAGAAAGCAGUUGCUUUAGAAUUGUGGAAAUCAAGGUGAUGCUGUUAAUGUCCCAGAUCUAGUGAAAAU
rnacentral:lncRNA from 1 species